AGCAGCAGCAGCAGCAGCAAACAUCUGGAGGGAGCACGAGGAACAUCCACUUCUCAGGACAGGCCCUCCCAUAUAAGGAGAGGGGCGGGGCCAGCGCGGGUGUUGGGUUUCACAGCCAGAGAACGUGACUGCAAUGGUCGUCUGAGCGAAAGCGGCUCCUAACUUACCUGCUCUCCGGAGGCGGCUCGUCGUCCCUGAACAUACCCGCUUGUUUUUGGGGCUUUUUUUUUUUUUACGUUCGAGGUGAGCGCGGGAUGCUGAUUUCACGCGGCGCCACCGAGAGUGGAAAACUUUGACAAAGUGGACUCCUGCGGCGGAGAAAAAAUAACUUCCAGCAGCCGAGGAGGAGGAGGAGGAGGAGAAGGAGAAGGAGAACUUGGAGCACCAGCAGGAGCAGUGUGAGGAGACCAGGAGGAGGAGGAGGAGGAGGAGGAGUCAACAGGUCCAGAGUUUAGGAGCUGCAAUCGAUUGAAUAGGAGAUUUCCUUGGACACAGACGGGGAGAUUGACAUUUUAGGGAAACGGGGCUCAUCCAAGCAAUCGAUGCAGGCGGUCCACCAGCUGAAAGCCCAGUCAGCCGAACAGCACAGCACUCAAUCAGUCUGACCAGCAGCGCAAACCGACAGAGGUAGACACAUGCCGCGUGUAGUUCAGCACUGGAUCUCAGAAACGAACGCAUUUCAUUAACCGUAUGCACACAUGUGCAGCAGCAGUGAAUGAGUUCCACACAUCAAAACAAAGUCAAAUUCAUGUUUAAAACGCCACUGGAGCGCCUUGGGCUCGCGUCUCCUCGCCACAGUCCACAUGUCUAUCUUUGAAUACUCUAGGUGCCGUGCUAAUUAAACUUCCAGACAAAGCAACUGCUGUGUUUCUCCUCUGUUUAUGGCAGCUGAAUGGGCUUUGUCUGCGACCACAGUGAGUACGCGUGUGGUUUUCCCUUCGCUGGUUGCCGUGUCAGUAUGUGUUGACAGUGGUCACGCGCUGUGCAACCACACCGCGCGGCUUUUCUUCCACUGGUUUGCUCGUAGUGUGUGUUCACAGGACAUGCAGUGUGUGUGUGUGUGUGUGUGAA